GCAGAGUAGGAAGUCGUGCGUUAAGUGUUGCAAAACGGGAUGUUGUUUGCAAACGAAAAGGUUUUUCCUUGCGGUACCCUUCCGCGUCCGUUG
rnacentral:ncRNA from 1 species